rnacentral:misc_RNA from 1 species
AUAAAACAAAAUUAAUUCACUGGAAAUGACGCGAUUGAUCGGAUAUUCGACAUAUUUACCUUCGCUAGGUUAUGUUUUGUCUUGCAAUAGAUAAUCGUUUAUUUGUUUAUGCUUUGUACAUUUGAAUCAGAUUUUAACACAAAAUCCGUUUAGAUAACUUCGUCUUCCAUAUUCAAGAGUGCAUAGUGACUUUUUACUGCAAGUUAGAAAGCAAUACGGGUCGAGUGCCGAUUAUGUCGGACGACAACUCAUCCUGAGCAGUGACAGAUUUUUCUUUUAUUUUGUAUCACUCGGGAAUGUUUGCGUCAAAUAAUCUCUCCCUUAUUCCCAGUGACGAUCUGCUAAAUUAUGACAUAGGGGAAGACAUUGAUGAACAGGUCCUGCUGGCUGCCGACGAAGACGACCUCCUGUUGUCAGAUGAAGCAGAAAUCGAUGAACAGAAAGCAAUACUGAAGGACGAGGCUGAGCAAUGGGUGAAUUCGAAGCUGAAAGGAGGAAAGCCACAGAAACCGACUGGAGCGGAUGACAAAAAAGUCGAAGAAGUUGUCACCACAUCUACGUCAUGCACACAUGAGAUAAGCAAAGAUCGGGAUAAAGUAGUCACUGCGGCGGAGUCGGAUGUUUCCACCAGUGAGGAGUCGCCAGCGAAAAAACAUCCGAUCGACGAGGAGCCAGUUGGCGCGAGUUCCUGUGUGCAACCGUCGAAAAACGACGAAGUGUCGUCAACAAACAAAGAAAUUGAGGAUCAGACGGUUUCGCAGACGUCUGAAGCAAAGAGUGAAAAUAUUGUAGAUUUACCCAACACGAAAGAUGAGGAUAAAAGUGCAGCAGUCUUACCAGGCACUUCAGAGAACGAUCAGUCGUCCGACCCGCGUGAGGAUCCCGACGAAGAGCGCGGGGAGCGGACGAAUAUAAAGUUGAGUGCGGAACGGGAUGACCAAGGCGAAAAUUCAUCAGAGAAAGUACAACCUGGACGGUUCCCGUCAAAACGUGGCCGAGGCGGUUUAACCAUACGAGGAGGGCAUUUUCCCGGUUCCCGACCCCCCGUAAGAUAUCCCCACCUCAAUUACCCCCCAUAUCCACAUCAUCAUAAUGAAAAUGUAAACCCUCAGAUGGCCGCUUCGGCUGGCCAAUACCCCACUCCAUAUGGACCAAUGGAUCAGCAAAUGGGUGGCGUUCGGCAGCCAGCACCAUACGGCGCCUGCAAUCCUAUGCCACCUCGUAUGGAUUACCGACCACUUGUCCCGAAUUUCCGGCCCCAGACCCCAAACGAAUUCAGUAUGUAUCGCGGCAUGCGACCUGAUUACAUAAACGGCGUCCAAUACGGUAAUUUUGGUCCUCACGGUAUGCGGCCAAUGUAUCGACCUGACAAUGCAGUACAGCUGCCGCCACAUAUGAGACAACGACUUCCACUACAGCGGCCACCAACUGGACCACCGCCCGGCCAAGGGAAUUUCAUUCCUCAGCAACACCCCCCAAUGGGACCAGGAGGUGGUCAACAUGGAGGCGCUUUGAAUCCUGCUGGAGGAGUCGGUGCGGGUCACUCACUUUCAGCACCGAUGACAGGUCAUCCCGGAUCUGGAGUGGGCUCUGCCGUUCUACCUAGGAAGGUUUUAAUCAAUCCGAAUUUCAAAGGCGGCGUGGAGGCCGCAACAAGUCAACUUAUGAAGGAUACGCAAUUUAUUCAGGCAAUCAGCAGCCACGUAUCACAUUUGCAGAGUGACGAGGAACUUCUUCGGCAGCAGGAGGAGUUCAUUAAUAAAAAUCGCAUUCAUAUUGAGAAAAGACGUUAUGAAAGAUCGCCAGAAAGAAACCGUAGUAGAGAACGAAGUUAUUCUCCUCCUCGUCGGGGGGAUAGGGACAGGCGCGCUGAUAGUAGGGAAAGGCGAGCAGGGUCACGUGGGCGUACCAGGCGUUGUGGCAGUAGAGAGUUUGAAUCCAGAAAUCCCCCGAAAAGGAGGCGCAGUGAUAGCUUUGAAAGGCGCAGAGAAAAAGACAAGGAUCGAAUUGAGGAGGAAGAUGAAGAAACACGAGCUUAUCGAUUGGAGAUAGAAAAACAGAAGGCAAUGCGGGAAAAAAUACUUAAGGAUAAAGAAAUGCGAAGACGGAAAGCGGCUGAAGGAAAAUUGAAUGAGGAAAAGGUAACAGAGGAACCGCCAGCAAAACUCAAACCAAUUAUAGUAACAGAGAGUAAAAUUAUAUCCUUGAAAAAGAAACCAAAAACAAAUGAUGAAAACGAGAAACAGCAACCGCAGCAACAACAAGUAAUCGCGUCGCAAAAACCGAAACCAAUACAGAGAACUAUACCGACAGCUAAGAUUCUUCCAGAAGCGAUAAAGAAAAUAACGGAUCAUACUAGCAAGGAAUCAAUAGUACAUCCAACAACGACGGCGUCGAGUUCUGGAUCUGCGACGCUAGCUGUUAUCAAACCUGUUGUGAAAAAGACAACCAAGAAGCCACAAUUGGAUGUCAAGAGUGCCAUAUUGGAUGAAGAUGAAUUAUUGGAGGAAGAACUGUUAGCAGAUACCCCAUCACCGCCUGCGUCUCCCAAAUCGCUAUCUCCAAUAGACCCAUUCUCUGACGCACCAACACGUGGUGGUAGCGCAUUUAUUUCAUCAAAUCGUCGAGUUAUAUUGAAAUCGUCAAAGGAUUCAAAUCGACCGUCAUCUGACUGCAACACGUCGACUACUGAACAAACAAAGAAGGGAAUUUUUGAUCGUUUAGAAAAACGUAAGAUUAUGGUUAAAAAUGCUGAGUGACUUAAUAGGGACGAUAACAAAAAUUUCUUCGACAUCAUUUGUGAUUGAACGUCUUGCUUCCUGCUUGUACAUCUUGAUGGAACCCAAGCUGGAUGAUCGCUGUUUCAUGAGAAAAUAGGCUUCACAGAACAUGUCCUGUGCCAGUUCGUUUCAAUUGCAUCCUCAAAAGUAAUACUUUAUCCGAUUUGUUAUACCAAUACUCUGGCCCAUGCAUUUGUCCAAGCACCAGACAAUGUGAACCAAACAUAUUUUUAGGACGAUUUUCUUUGUAACGGCAAUUAUAAUGCUUUAACAUAAUUUUAAUGAGAUUCUGAUUCUAUUAUUAUCCUAGUAUUUAAUUUCAAGUUGAUUGGUUUAUUUUGUAAAGUGAGAAUGGGAAUAAAAUCGAAUUAAUUUAGGGAGCACCAACUCCGACCAAAAAUAGCAUGCAUUAUAUUUUUAUAUGAAACUUUCCUCAUAUUAAAAGUAAUAUUUGUAACGUUUUAAUCGAACAAUGAUGAUAAAUAUUGUAAACAAAGACGAAGGACGAUACUAAUUUCAAUUAUCUUGUUAUGGUUGCAGUGAUGAAAAGUGUAUUUUUGAACCUCUACUUGUUUUUGCCAGAAAUCAUUUAUAAGAUCACACAAAAGUUGUGUUUGUAUUAAUGUGUUCUUUCCGUUUCCUUUGCAGUAAUUGUAAAAAUGAUUGAGAAUGACAACGGUUAUGUUAAAAUAAUUGAAAUAUAUGUAAGUUAACUGUUUCCUUUGUUUAUUUAGUGACAGGGUACAUGUUUGUAUCAUUUUACACUAUUUGAUUUCUUAGUUUAUAGGCAAAAUAAACUGAAAGCUGAAUAUUACAAUGUGUUUGUGUGCGUAUUUAAUAUUGAUAAUUUAUAUUUAAAAUUGAUAGAGAUUGCAAGAUAUUUGAGUAAGGAAUAGAUUUAAGAUAGUUGCGUUUUGCUUGGACAUCGAUUAUGAAGUUUAAAUGAAAUGUGAAUGCCGUACCUUUUUGGAAAUAAUGUGAAAUGGCCAGCAAUUGGCCGCAACUUUAACACAAAAAUUGUUUUAUAAAUUUCGAAAGACUUCAACGUGGUUCAAAAGUAUCAGCAAGAGGGAUGAUUAGAUUAAAGUGAUAAUAACCCUUAAAUACAAUAUUAUAAGUUAUUUAAUCCUUUUUGUUUGAAAUUUAUCAUUGAAGCGUGUGAACAACACCCCAUUUCUGGGAAUAAUGAAUUUAUUGUAACGAACUUCUAGCUUAUAACAAAUUACAGUGAAAAAUGAAAUUAGAUGGGACAAAUUGAACCUAAAAUAUGAACAGCAACAACUAGAUAAACUUACAAUACAAAAAUGACUAGAUUUAACGAGAUGUAGGCAUAAGAUAAAUUCUAAUUAUAUAAAGCCCGAAUAAUAUUAUAAGUAUUUGUUAAACUCUUAGUAUCAUCUACAGUGACUAUGUAAAUCAUUAUAAAAAUAUAUUCCCUAUAUGUGUAUAUUAGAAAAUUAGUUUCAUGUUUUCGUCAUAAACGGACUUUGGCUAAUAUAACACAAACAAACUGAACUUAAUUGUGAUAUUCCUAUCAUUAUUUCGUAUCCAUAUUUUCAUUUCUUUAUAUAUUUUAUUUUUUUUUAAGAGACAGUUUUAGUUACAAAAAUACAAAUUGAAUCCAACACGAUACAAGUGAUACAUAAAAAAGAAAACAAUCAUGACUGAGUGCGAAUGAUUGAUCGAUAAAAAAGACAAAAAAAAACACUAGAAAACAGAAAAUAAAAUAAUUUAAUUGAAA